rnacentral:ncRNA from 2 species
GGUCACGAGCGUCUCCGACAAGCCCCGGCUGGGAGACCGGCAACCCUCCGUCCGUGGUGGGGUGCCCCGGGUGAGGACCAGGCCGUCGUGCGCGUGCACGACGGCAAGCACGGGCG